rnacentral:rRNA from 1 species
CCUACGGGAGGCAGCAGUGAGGAAUAUUGGUCAAUGGACGAAAGCCUGAACCAGCCAAGUAGCGUGAAGGAUGAAUGCCCUAUGGGUUGUAAACUUCUUUUAUAGGGGCAUAAAAUGUUCCACGUGUGGGUUUUUGUAUGUACCAUAUGAAUACGGAUCGGCUAACUCGGUUCCAGCAGCCGCGGUCAUUCGGAGGAUGCGAGCGUUAUCGGGUUUUAUUGGGUUAAAGGGGUUCGCAGGGGGAAGAUCAAGUCAGCGGUAAAAUUGAGGGGCUCAACCGCUUCGUGCCGUUGAAACUGGUUUUCUUGAGUGAGUGAGAAGUAUGCGGAAUUCGUGGGGUAGCGGUGAAAUGCAUAGAUAUCACGCAGAACUCCGAUGGCGAAGGCAGCAUACCGGCGCUCAACUGACGCUCAUGCACGAAAGUGUGGGUAUCGAACAGGAUUAGAUACCCGAGUAGUC